UAUUAAAAGAAAAAAACGUUGUCGUAUUGGCUGUUGGAAGCAAUUAAAGAAAUUAAAGCAGCAAACCUAAUAUUUUUUCUGCUGCUCUUCAUUCUUCUCUGCCGAGAAUAUUUAGCCAAAACUAAAAUACGCCGACAACAAGGUUUUCCAUUCCACCUUUCUUCUCUGCUGUUCAUCCGCCGACAAGGUUUUCCACCUUUCUUCUCUGUUGUUCAGCCGCUGCCGACAAGGUUUUCCACCUUUCUUCUUUGUUGUUCAGCCGCCGACAAGGAGGAAAUGGAUCGGAAGUCUGGAUAUUGGUGGUCACUUGACAAAUACGAGCCCAAACCCGAGCCGAGCGAACCCGAGCUAUUAGAGACGAGCCCGAGUUAGGUGCGAGCCGAGCACGAACAC